rnacentral:lncRNA from 1 species
UCGUGGGGAGUGGAGCGGGGCGGGGCGUGUUGGCUUAAAUGGGCCAGCAUCCUGCCCUGUGGCGGGAGGCCAUGUGGGCCGAGUCAUGUUCGAAAUGGCGUGAGGCUGGGUUGGGCCGAGUCAUGUUCGAAGUGGCGUGAGGCCAGGUGGGCCGAGUCACAAUCGAGACCCGUGGGCGCUGUUUCUGUACGCUUUAAGUGAAUUGGUUGCGUAUUUCUAACAGCUCGAGCUUUUGGGAUUAAUGGUUAGCGCCAACGAUCCGACAAGUGGUAUCAGAGCCAGAGGUCACGGGUUCGAUUCCUGCAUGCUGCAAAUGUGUGCAGGUGCUGGAGGGGGGAUUGUUGGCUUAAAUGGGCCAGCAUUCUGCCCUGUGGCGGGAGGCCAUGUGGGCCGAGUCAUGUUCGAAAUGACGUGAGGCUGGGUUGGGCCGAGUCAUGUUCGAAGUGGCGUGAGGCCAGGUAGGCCGAGUCACAAUCGAGACCCGUGGGCGCUGUUUCUGUACGCUUUAAGUGAAUUGGUUGGGUAUUUCUAACAGCUCGAGCUUUUGGGAUUAAUGGUUAGCGCCAACGAUCCGACAGGGCGUGGCGUGGCGGGGUCCUUUAU